AUGCAAUUUAUUUCAGAGAAAUAUUUGUCUUUAUUAACGUCAAGUAGUAGAAAAUACCAGGAAGUCUCAUGUUCUUCUUCUUUCUAUUUUUUAUUGUGUAGCAAGCUUUGGAGAACAAAUUGCGAAACAAGAAAAUGGCAGCUGCACGAGCAGCUGCAGCUGCUGGCAGCCAGUAACAGUCACAGAUAUCCUGGAGGCCCAGAAGUACUCCUCAUCGUGCUGUUUGAAACCAGUAAUUUAUGUGAAGGCCCUGAAAACAAACAUGUGGAGUUGCUAUUUCUCUGUUCUAAACCUGAUGGAUUAUCAAGGUUAUUCGGUGGUCAAUCAAGACAUCACCUGUCCUAGUUAGGAAGGAAGGUCCUUUACCUUAUUCUGAAUUAAGCAUUUGUUCCCGCACUACCACUUUCUCCCCUGAGCCAGUCCCCUGACAUUUUCUUCAACAAAUUAUGUGUGUGUGAUGCAGCAGUACAGGUAACUGGCUUACUUAUAACCUUUUACUUAUAUGGACUUUCAUUUUAUACAUUUAUUCUGCCUUAGUUUUCUUAGCCAGGGAACAGGAAUAUUUCACCCUCUUUUUUUCUUCUAAGUUCAGAAAUAUCUUCAUAAAGUAUUUUUAUAAUCAUUCAUCUACUCAUUUUUUUUGAAAUUAACAUCAUUUUCCUUUUUCAUUCUUUUUCCCCAUCCAUGGUCCCCACAAACAUGUACUCAAACUCUUUAUUUGCUGCUGGACUCUGUAUGAAACGUUAAGGGCUUUUUAGAAGAAAAAUCAUAUGUAAAUUAGGGCUUGAUCUGCACUGGGUUGCAGGUCUCUCACCUUAAGGAGAUACAUGGGUUUUAGACAACUCUUUAUAAGCUAAAAAAAAAAAAAAAAGACUUCAUAAGUGAUUAUUAUUCCAUCACAGUCUCAUCAUGACCUCAUUGUAUCUCCUGAGCUUAUAUUCUGAUAUUCUAUACUUAUUCUUUGCUUUUUUGUUAAGGUUAUGAAAACAUAUUUUAUGGGGGUAGGGGCUUUAGUUUAUAGAUAUAUUUGAGCAUUAUUAUUUAAAGUUUAAAUUUACUUUGAAUAGUAACAGUCAAUGCUCUCAGCCAGCUUUGUUUUGUGAGUUCAAUAUGUCUUAACUCAGUGUCUCCCCAACCACCUAACCCAAUUUGCCUGCUAUUCCCUACAAUUGGCAUGCUGAUUUUUAUUGUCCUGUUUUUUUAGUUUCUCAUCUUUUCAGUCUUCUCCUGGCCAUAGAAAGAGCACUGUGUUCUUUUGCCAAUUCAUGUUCUUAUAAACUUCAGUCAAACCAAAUCAAGAUGACCUCCUCUGGUCACAUUUUCCUUAUUAGCCUUCAUUCCUAAUCACAACACUUCUUGAUAGCCUUCCUUUGAACUCUUGUGUCUUUAACUUAGAGUCUAUAUUUUAUUGAUUUUCCUAUAAUUUUUAAAUUAUAAAGAUGGUUUAUUAUAUGCAUGAAUCAUCUUUCCUGUCCUGAUUAUAAGCUCCCUAUAAGAAGGGAUCAUAUCUUCUAACCCUUUUGUAUGCCUAGAAUAGUGCUGUGCACAGGUAGGCACUGAAUAAAUGCUUGUUAAUUAAAUUGAAUCA
ensembl:lncRNA